CAUCACGGGGAGUCAUUCCUGGCUGUCUCUAGCUCUAUAAAAUUCAACCUGCCUUUCCUGGGCCCCACCCAGACUAAAAAUGUGAGGCUCCCCGCCUCUUCCACAGCUCAGCUGCACAGCUUCAGUUUCUCUUAAUCCUGUUCCCCCACCCUUCCUCCUUCCAAGACCCAUUCAGGUGUUCCGGGGCUCCUCGCUGCCUGGAAUGGAGGGGGGAACCCAGGCUUUGAUUCUGGCCCUGCUGCCAGCUCAGCAGUGUCCCAAGCCCAAAUCCGGACUGGAGCAGGAGACCACAGCAUCGUCCGCCAGGCCGCCCCCCCUUUGGGAAGGAGCCGACUUGGUGGGUCCUGUUAUGAUUGGCCGCUCCCCCAAGUUUUAGGGGCUUAGCUUUGGAUAAGCUUCUCAAGCCCUGGUUUCUGCAUAAAUUAUCUCAAGAAGAGGAGGACUUAGACAAGUGGGUUCUGGGAAGCCUGACUAAGGCCUAGUCUGAGUGGAAGGGCAAUGGGGGCAGGGUAAGCCCUCACAGCUGAGGCCAGUGAUUAGGAGAGGAGCCCAAGGGGCCUCGGAGGAGGGAGGAGACGUGACAACUGGGUGAGGAGCCAGUGGAAAUACGUGUUCUAGUGCCUCUCCCUGCCCCCUCCUGGCUGUAAACUUCCACCCUGCAAGUAGGGAAAUCUAAUCACACAAACAGCAAGAAACACUUGCCUAAUGCUACGAGUCUGUUGGCAAAAGGUUUGGAAUCAGAAACCAGAAAUCAUGUCUGCCCCCUCGUGUCCGGAAGGUAGAACCCUCCGAGUGCAAAACCUGGGGGGUUGGGAGGGAGAUGGAACAUCGGGUGGUGCCAAGGCCUCUUUGGGCUCCCUUGCAUCCUCAACUCCCAGGCUGGGAGGCCCGAGUGAUGCCUCUGAGGGACCAAGGGCCUGAACCAAGAUCUGCUGCUGGCCAGCUGGAUGACCCUGGACCAACCUCUCUGAGUCCCUCAGCUCAGAGUGCUGCCUUGCAGGACUGCCACAACGGGUUACUUUAGGCUGGUGCACUCAUACCCAGGCCCCCAACAGCCUGGACCUUGCACGCUCGCCACCCGCUGGCGGUUUUUGGUUCCUUCUCUCCUCCAAUACCAGAGAUGGAGCAAAACAUCAAAUGCUUCUGCAGCAGUUCUUGAAGGUCAGGAGGAAGGAAGGUGGGGUGGGUGGGAAACAGACUAAUGGCAUGCCUAGUUACCCUUGCCAGGGGCAAGCGGAGCCCCCAGCCUAGGGGAAGAGGAGAGAGCCCUGAACGGAGAGGCCUAGGGAGGAUCCUGGUAUCUACUGGGCGACUCCCUGUCUCCACCCAGUAACUUUCCACUGGCCCAGAGUCGGCCAUGUGCACUGGCAGCAUGUCACCCCCCACCGGUUGUGGUCCCCUGGUUCCCUCCCCAACAGGCACCUCCACGGGCUGGGUGACUGACGCAGGCACACACGCACAGCCUGCCUGAGAUCCCAGCAGCCUGAAGGUUGAUAAGGAGCCUUGGCCUCAUCCCAUGUGACCAGCUGAGGCACUGGUGCUGGCUCUUAGCACUGGCUGGAAAGCCGCCAGACUGCAGAGGUGCCGAGAUACGGGGAGAAGGGGAUUUAGAGACUCUGGGCUGAGUGAGUGGCCAGGGGAGGGCAUAGGAGAACUGCCAACUAACCGCUAAGGCCCCAGGAGAGGCCAGGGGUUAGCCAGCAACGCAGAGCGGACGGGGAGGGCUGAGGAAAUGAGAGGCACAGAAGGGCUUCGGCAGGGCCUGGGGAAGGGGUGGGGCAAGGCAGGAUUCCCUCCAGAAUAUCCAUAGGAGGCCCCAGGCAACCUCAUGGGCCUCAGGCCUGGGCGGGGAGAAGAGACUGGGAGGCUGUGGGUCUUAGUCCUACAAUGCAGACAUGUCCCAGGACAGCCUGGAUGGACCGGCCACACCGCAGAGCCCGGACAUCCCAGCAGCUGCCCUGCUCCCACCUCCCUGGGAGCCCAGAACAGGCCCUCACUUAGGAACAGUCCCCAUCCCUACCUCCUGCUCCAGCAGUGCUCUGUCAUGACCCAGGAGGGCACCCCAAGGCAAGCGACAGGUGGCACUGGCUUCCUAGCCCUUCCUGUUCCCAUGAUCCCAGGGCCCACAUCCCUGGAACAAGCCGCUGCUUCCAAGGUGAGACAGGCUGCCUGGGACAGCCGUCCUGUGAGCCUGCCUCCCCUAUCCGCAGAGCAGUGCCAGGCCUUACAAAGUGUUCAUGCCUGACCUGGAAGAGAGCGAGGGGAAGGGGUGGACGGACACAGGACAGCGUGUCCCAAGGUCACUGGGCUGUGGCAGCCCUGGGAGGAAACUUGUGAGGGCGAGGGCAUCUGAAAUCCUGCCGGGCCCCUCCCACUCGUCCUUUGAGUUCUCAAACUGGAGGAGCCAUCAGCCUUGGCUGUCUCAGGGUGGACGAUGUGACUGGGAGGGGGUGGCACAGGAGAUGAGGUGGCCUCCGUCCGCAGGGUCCCGGUGGCAUAUGUACAAGCUGCAGAGGGUGAGGGCGGGGCUGGCCCAGGCAGUGAGAGGGUGGCCACAGGCCGGGCUGGCGGCUAGUUUUAUAUCUGGUCUUGCGGGAGCACGGGGAGGGUCGGAGGACCAAGAAGGAAGCAUUCUCUGGAGGGAGGUGGGGGUGGGGAGGGCUCC